GUAGAUGGUAACCGUAAGCUUUACCGCUUUCAGCGAUCAGGAAGCUCUGAUGAAGCUGCAUUUUUUGAUGGGCUGUUCCUUGCAAAGGACAGAGAGGUGGCAUGUUUUGUUGACCUCAUCCACAGUGCUGUAAAAAAUACUCAAGGGAGGGGCACAUGUGGUGCCUCACAGUGGACAGCCGCAAGGGAGACUUCCAGGAGGGCC